rnacentral:lncRNA from 1 species
AAAUUGAAUACUUGGGAGAAUCAUCAAACAUGAAUUACUAGCUAGUUGCAGAGUUUAUUGAUAGUCCGUAGACCACUACAACGUGCUUCUAAAUCACAGUGGGACUCUAAUGACAUCAGAAUCAGUAAUUUCUGUUGGGCCUGUUGGGCCACUAUGACCUUGAUCAUUUUUGUGUGGUAACUAAUACUUUAAUAGCCUUCUUUACAUUUUUUUAUAUUCAAAGGAUAACAAUAAAAUCAGUGCCAAGCAUUACUUCAUAUCUCUUCAAUUUUAAGGAUUCUUUUUUUUCAAAGAAUGAGGAGGCACAAGUGCCCCACACCGUGGAGGAGGCUGAACAGGUAGCUCCUUGGGGAUCUAAGCGAGCUCCCACGUUAAGGAGGUAAAAACCUGGGGCCACUUUGAUUGAAGGUACAGUUUCAAUACACUUACACAAAGGAAAUAAAGUCGCCAGAUCGACUACUUACACAUGGGGAGCGGAGAGGGUGCGCAGGCGCAACAAGCGGGGAAGGGCCGUCCUCCAUCCUAGGUCACCAGGGAACGAGAGAUAGCAGGGAAGCAAGCACCUCUUACUUUCAAGGUGGUUGGGGCGGAUCUUGCAAAUUUUAUGUGAGCUCAACUCUGAGUGGUCAAUUUAUAAGGUGCCCCAGGAAAAGCAAGGCGGGAACUUGUGACCAGAAUCCUAACCGCAGGUCCUUAUCUCAAAGUCCAGAGUCUGGGUGUGAGCAGGCUUGCCAUACUGUAAAAUGCCUAGCAGCAACUCCAAAAACGGCUGUUUUCUCACCACAAAAGCAUCAUAUAGCAACAAUCCUGGAGAAAACUGAUGAUUUGGGAUUCUUUCUUGAUCUCUCACUCUUUUUUCUCUUUUUUAAAGGAUUUCUUUUAGGAGGAACGUCUUAUAUGCUCAUUCUAUGUGUCUUAAUGAAAGAAACCAGCCUACUCAUUGUUGGACCUAUUCUGUACUGCCACCAAUUAUCAAUCUUGGAAACAUCAAUCCUGAUAGCUUAUAUUCUGAAAGGAAGCGGAUGAAAACUGAAGUUAAAAAAAUCGCUACCAAAAACUCCAAAAAUGCACAAAUGACUAUGUCUUAUCACUUCCAUCAAUAGAUGACAUCCGUUAGCAGAUUUCACAAUGUUUGCUUUAUGCAAAGAAAACAAAAAUCACCAGUCAAAACUGCUUUUUACUUUCAGAACUAGAUUUCGUCUCUCCAAUAUGAUUUCUCUCAAAACAUUUGGCAGCCUGUGGUUCUUAGUAGCUUCAAGCAAGAUAAAUCAAUAAGGAGAGUCCCAUACAACUGCAUCAAAUUGCAGCCUUAGACUCAAGCAGCCUGAGGUGAAUUCUAAUUCAACAUUGGUACGUUGAAGAAAAUUUUCCAUUCACUGUGAAAGGAGAAUAACUUUGGACUUCCCAAAUGCUUCUCAGUGUUGAAAAAUUAUCUUUCUUCAAUAUAUUUUCCCUAAAGAACACAGUUCAAAAUUGUGUUACAUAAUAUGAUAUUACAAAAACAUAGGCCUGAAGACAAAGACAGAGGGUAUCAGUUAAAUUACAAUAUAAAUCUGCUAUUUUAGGAAUUAAAGUGAAUGGUCAACAUGUCGAUGUAGACUUGAGAACUGCAUCUCAAUGAAAUUAUUCUGGAUUGUUUCAUUUUGACCUCUCAGAUAUUUGAUAAUACAGGUUACUCUUUUUUAUUUUGUUAUUAUAAAAGCAAUUAAUGUUUAUUGCAAAAAUUUUUACAAAUGCAAAUAGUAAAAAAGGAAAAUAAAUAAGAAAAUCAAAUAGCCCCCA